GGAUGGAGGAGCCUGGUAGGCUUUGGUCCAUGGGGUCGCUGAGGGUUGGACACGACUGAGCGACUUCACUUUCACUUUUCACUCUCAUGCAUUGGAGAAGGAAAUGGCAACCCACUCCAGUGUUCUUGCCUAGAGAAUCCCAGGGACGGGGGAGCCUGGUGGGCUGCCGUCUAUGGGGUCACACAGAGUCGGACACGACUGAAGUGACUUAGCAAUAGCAAGUGCCCUCGAGCUCAAGUCCAUUUCCAUCCUGUUGAUCUCCCUGCAUUCUCCUGUCUACUCAGUGUUGACAUUUAGACGUGAGAUGGGCAUCACAAACCACCGCCAAAGAACAACUGAUUUUCGUCCGUCCGCGCCCCUCACCCCACCCCGCUCAGAAACGCGUUCGGAGGCGCCCUGCUGUCGGACGCUGGAGCUCAGAGAUGUUCGAAGGCCCUCGAGGCGCUCGUAGGUAUUGGAAGCACCCGGAGGCUCUCGGAGGCGCUCGGAGGUAUUCGGGAAGCACCCAGAGGCGCUCGGACACUUUCGGAGCUUUCGGAGGCGACAGACUCUUGGCCACGCCCCCGCCACGCCCUCACGCUCACGCGGUGAGUUCUGGACAAUGUAGUUCCAGCCCUUUGAUCUCCCUUUCCCUGAGGACGCUGCAGGCAGUGUCAGAACUACGACUCCCAGGGGCCUCUGCGGCUUGGUGGCUCCUCCCCCCGCUGCCUGGAGCUCCAACAGGAGCCCAACGAACCCAACGGCGCCCGGGGGUCUCGCGCGGUCGGUUAAGCGGCUCUGCGAUCAGUAGAGGCCGGGCUGCAGUCCCUUACGCAUCCUCGGGACCAGGAAAGGGAGCGAUGAAGGCGCCGGCGCCCAGCCGCUCUGGCCUUCCGCCCGCGGCUCCAGCUCAGGGCCCCCGACCACUUCGGGCCACCUGGAGACCUGGCCGUCGGGAGUAUUAAAAGCGCCCCGGCCUCUCGGGAAGUGCGACCAAAGCCGACAGCGACUGGUGUCGAGGAAGAAGGGGGUCGUUUCAGGCUGUGACAUGGAAGCAGUUUUCUCGAGGAGGAAAGACGAGUUUUACAGACCGUUUGGUGACCGCGCCUCAGCUCUGCCCAGCGUUCACUCUACAAUUGCAGUGAGCACCUGUUAUGUGCAGCGAUCACAGAGAUGAGACCGACCAGAGCCUUACUGUCGAGGAACUGGACAAACAAGAACCCACAGAGGCCCCAGGCUGCUAAAAUACAUCCCAGAGGUCGACAAUCCAGGAGGUGCUUAGCAAAGGACAAGCCAGAGACACGCGGAGCUCAUCAGGCUCUGAGCGCCUGGCUUCCCAGGAAGGUGUCCAGGCUGCCACAGUCCCCCUGCCUAGAGGGCUUCGGGGGCACCGAGGACACGUGCCGAUUGUACCAGGUGAGCCCUGGGGAGGCAGGAGGAGAGCCGCAGGAGGCACAGUGGUCCGCACCCCGUUUCUUCCCCGCUGCGCACAGACCGGCCUGCUGGUCCUGACUCGGAUGGCUUCCCGGACCAGCUCCCUGGCAGUUGGAAGGCUGGGCAGACUCCCACGCGGUCCAGUCCCCACGCGCCCCCUGCCUUCCCUGGGCCCUAGAGCAGGGAGCUCACAGCGCAGAGGAUGAGACGGCGGUCUGUUGUCCCAGCGCGUGGCAGGGCCACGCAGCUCUGUUAUCUCAGUUUCUGAGGGUCGGGGAUCCAGCCAAGACCGGCUGGGGCUUCUGCCUCGAGGUCUUGCGAGGCUGUACCCGGGUGUCGGCGGGGACUGUGGCCCGUGCACAGGCUCCACCUGGAGGGUCCAGGCUCACUCACGUUGGCGGGAUUCGGCUCCUCACGAGCUACUAGGGGAACGUCAUCCUUUUCUCCAUGUUGCCGGAGGGCUCAAUCCGUUGGCCACGUGGGCCUCUUCAGAGCGCACCUCCCCGGGGGGACAGGCCCCCCGUGACCCCCGUCUGCAAUGGCAGCUUGUCCCUCUGUGCUGUUAGAUUCUGCUCACCCUGGGGGGCCUCGCAGGGUGCUCAUUCAGUGGGGGCCCCUGGGGGCCAAACCCCCGCCCCACUCUGUGCUCUUCCUACCAUCCCCCAGGCCUGGGUCUCCAGAGAUGGUCAUACUGUGUCCAGUGUGACAAUUGUGUGUUUUUCUCUCGUUUUAGAAACUGUAGCCUGGGCUGUCGCACCCUGAGAUAGAUGUACCCAGAGAGUUGUAGGGUGCGCUGUGGACACUGUUCUGUCCAUGCCGCCCCUGCGUCAGCCCUCCCCGGGCCUCUGCUUACUAGGUUUUCCCGCCUCCUCCGGGAGACAGAGCCGCUUUCCUUAAGCUCAGGAGCUGUUUGCAUUUUUAUCAGAGCAGGAUCAGGCCCCCAGUCUCCGCGGAGUGGAGGAGCAACAGGGGAAAUCCGAGAAGGAAGCAUAGGGGCCCGCACAAGCCACACAGUCAAGGCUUGAACCACAGCUAAAUCUCGGUGUUGGUGAGAGCCUGGGAAGAGCCUCCGCCAAGGCCUGGGCGCCCCGGGUGCCCCAGGAGGCCGAGCCAGAGGGGCUGGGUGAGGCAGGGCGGCCCCAGCCGCAUGGUGUCCCGAAGCUGCAUGGUGUCCCUGUCUGGUGUCCCCUGCCCAGGGCCCGCCAGGAGCUGGCACCUCAUGCUGUUUUUCUGUUUGUGGGCUGUGUAAGUUAAAAAGGACUGGCUCUUUCUUUACCGGCAAACCUGCCAACCUUGACUGCCCUGGCUUGACAAGAUGGAAGGAAAGGGGGAGGGAAGGCGGGAAGAAGGGCCCCAGGCCCCGCCCCUCGCCACCCCUCCCCUGGGCCAGCCCUGGGUCCUGCUUAUCCUCCCGGGCUCCAUCCAGCCCCUUGGCAUUUGACCACUCCACUCUGGGGACACUGUGCCCCAGCACUGACCCCUGGAGACACUCGGGCAAGGGGAGCCAGGCUCAGUCCCGGACCGGAGCAGCCCUCAGGUGGGCCAGCACUGGGAGCAAAAAGGAGAGGACUCAGCCCCUUUUUCCUCGACACGUUAUGGAAAUUUGCAAGCACAAAGUGGAAGGGAUUUUUCACUACACACCUGCACGCCCACUGCCGAUGAUCCCACUCACGUUUUACUAGACUGUUAUAUCUAGGCAACCAUCUUUUAAUUCAUUUUAUUUUUGAUGCAUUCAAAAUCAAUUUUAGCCUCAAAUGUGCUUGCCCCUACAUACUUAAGCAUGUACAUUAACUAGAGUUCAUUAGUGAUAGUCUUUUAAUAUAAAACAAUGAAAUGCCCGGCUUGUAAGUGAACAUUCACUCUUUUGACAAGUGUAUGCAUUCUUGUAACUCAGACCCUUAUCGAGAUACUGAGUGUUCCCAUUACCCCAGACUGGUUGACCCCCAGUCCACUCAGAGGCAACCACUCUGUGACCUCCUUGUGAUACUGGCACAAAGGUACUAAGUGAAGUCGCUCAGCCCUGCUCGCCUCUUUGUGAUCCCGUGGACUGUAGCCCACCAGUCUCCUCGUCCAUGGAAUUUUCCAGGCGAGAGUACUGGAGUGGGUUGCCAUUUUCUUCUCCAGGGGAUCUUCCCAACCCAGGGAUUGAACUCAGGUCUUCCCCAUUGCACGCAGAUGGUUUACCAUCUGAGCUACCACAGAUUUAAUACUGGAGCCUAAAGCAAAAGGGAAUUAUUUUUAAUGGCUAAUAUUUUUUUUCCCAGAACACCGAAGUAGUUAACAACCUGUUGAAAAAUGAAAAGUAGAUAUAUCAAAAUAGUUUAUUUAUACAAAAACCAACCAAUAAUCUUGCUUUCCUGGUUUUAGUGGAAAUGAACUCAUCAAUAUUUCCGAAGUCUACUACUUACCUUGUUUUGAAAGGAGAGAAUUGCCAUGCUAAUUUCUUUUGAUGAAGUGAUCUUAAUUUUUCAUUUACUGCAGCUUACUGAAGUGUCUUAUAGGAUGACAUGGUGACUGGGAAUGCUAACAACCUUCUCAAGGCCAUGUUCAAAUUGGAAAGUAUUGCACUAAACAAAUUUGUGAAUCAGCCUUAGAAGAUGCAAACACUAUUUAAUAACUGAUGCUGCAUGCUGCUUAAAACUAUAUCAGAUGGAUAUAUAGGAUUUAGGAUAUUUGAGUCAAGUAAGUGACUGCUUUGUGUAAGAGUUAUCCGUAGAAAACUUUUCUCCAUUUAAAAAUUCAAAAUGUAAGACACUUUUUCAUAUAAUCAUUUACAAUGUGAAAAUUAAGGCAUCUAUAGUUUCUUUAAUUUCUAUUUGAUAUGCAGUUUUAUAAUAAUUGACACUCAUCUAGUGAUUCAUUUCCAAUUUUUAUACUUUAAUUUUAAAAUUCAAGUGCAGCAUUGGUAAGAUAGUGGUGAGCAUAGCUGCCUUUCAUAAAGUUCAAACAGUAGCCCAUAUCUUUUGCUAAGAUUUCACAUUAAUCAAACAUUGAAAGUUUCUGUUAUUUCUAAGCAAAGGUAAAGGCCUUCUGCUAAGAGUACAACAAUGUAUAGUCUUUUUUUUUAAUUGUAUAAACAUUAACUUUUACACUGGUUUAUAAUAACAUCCUACACAGAUUGUAUAAAAUAAUGCAUUUGUGCCAAGAUGCUUUUGAUGUAUGCUUUUCAUUUAAUAUAUAUUUCAGUAUAAGUGCCUUUGUAUAUGAAAUACCUUGUUUACAUUUAAUCUUGAUCCUCACGGGAUAUCUGGAUGUGUUUUUAAUGUAGAUUUUAGAACAGACAUAAGAAUAUCCCAUCUGUGCAUCCAUUUUUAAAACUUCACACACAAAAUAUAUAUGUAUAUUAUAUGUAUCCAUAUACAUAUAUAUAAAUGCUAAAAAAUGGUUAACAUUUGAUUUCCCAGGGCAGCAUUUAUGCAUAUUUUUAUGAGCUGAGGAAGCACAAAUUUGGCAUAAUCAUAUUUGGGGGCAAAAUGUCUUAUAAACUCUUGUAUAACAGGCUAUAUUUUCUCCAUUAGACUAUACCUGGCCACAGGCAUUUUAAAUUUUAUUUCCAACCUCUAAUUUCAUAAGCUAGACUUAGAAAGUUUCAUCUUUCAUUUCAAUGAAGUCAGUACAACUUACUUUAUUGUUAUGACAUUGUUCUUCAUGUGAGCAGAUCUCGUGGUCAGACAUGCUUGUUCACGAUGGGCUACAUCUUGUGUACAAGCAAAAAAUAAAAAGUACUUGCUCCAUUAUUGACAGUAUUUCAGAACUCAUGUGAUUUGCUUGUAACAUGGUAUACUUGUUUUGAAUUUUAUUAGACCAGGCACAUGGAUUUCCAACAAUUUCCUGUGAUUCUCUUAAGAUUUAAAUUGUUUUCUUCAAAGUGUAACAUCUAAAACCACUCAAUAUAUUGUGAUUUUUGUUUCUUUGAUUUUGUCAUCUUCUGCAAAACAUCAUCUAUUAAACUGUCAGUUUGAAUAUUUUUCAGAAACACUUCCCAUUUUAGACAGCAUCACAAUGAGACAUCAAAUUUUCAAGGUCACAGCUUCUGUCUAAAUUUUUCUAAUAUUUGAAACCUUUUUCAUGGUUACAAAAAUUUGAUUCUGUUGUAUUAUUGUGGGGAAACAUGCACAAAAAAUAAAGACACUUGUGAAUAAAUGAACCAGUCACAGUGAAUUUAUUUGCCAUUAUAAUAGUAAAAAAAAAAUUUGGAAGAAUCUUUGGCCAUCAUGUGAAAUAGCUUCUUUAAAAUAGCUUCUCUAAAAUAUACCCUUUUCCUUUGUUGGGUCGGUGUUGUAUUAAAAUCAUUUUUAUUAUCACAAAGUAGCAACCAUAAUA
ensembl:lncRNA